ensembl:snRNA U6 U6 spliceosomal RNA
GUGCUCUCUUUGGAAGCACAUAUGCUAAAACUGAAACAAAACAAGGGCCCCUGGGCAAGGUUAACAUACACAUUUAUGAUGAAUUCCACAUUUUU